UGAAUUUUUUUUAAAAUAAAUAUAUAACCAAAACUGGUUUCAAAUUUAUUUGUUUAAAAUGUAAAAAAAAAUAUUUCCCCAAAUCAAUCCAGUAACUAUAACCUCAAGAAACACCUAAUAAAGACUGUUCAUGGUUUUAAGGAAAUGGAGAAACAUCUAAAUAAUUUUGGUAUAGGCCACUCUACAUCCAAAAAAACUAAUUCAAUUCAAACCAAAUUAAUUAAUAAUGCAAAUGACAAUAUUUCUCAGAAAUUGGCUGAUAAAGUUAUUGUUGAUUUUAUAAUUUAUACAGUUCAACCAAUGUCCUUAGUUGAUAAUCCAUCAUUUACCAUGAUGAUUAAAACUCUAUCCCCCUGGUAUAACAAUUUAAUGGCGCCAGACACUAAUGAAUAAAAUAACAUAACUUUAAAAUGAUGAAAGAUGAUCUAAUAGUAGAGUUAUCAGAGAUAUCAUAUAUAUGUACCACGGGAGAUAGUUGAACACAUAACAGAAGCUUAUUUGGGAAUCACAGGCCAUUGACUAGACUCUACAACCUUAAAAAGAAGAUCUGUGGCAUUAGCCCUCAAAUGAUAAUAGGAUGCCAGACAUACGAUCGAAUAACGCCGUUACUUUCAGAACUCUAUUUUACCUUAUGAAAAUUAAAAACCAAAUCAAAAUUAGCAAAAAACGCAUUCCCCUGAAAAUUUUAAUUUCAUUCCUUUCAUGACACUGCUCAGCUACGCC